UAGGGAAUAUUGCACAAUGGGCGAAAGCCUGAUGCAGCAACGCCGCGUGCGCGAUGAAGGCCUUCGGGUUGUAAAGCGCUUUUCGGGGAGAAGAGGAAGGACGGUAUCCCCGGAAUAAGGCUCGGCUAACUACGUGCCAGCAGCCGCGGUAAAACGUAGGAGCCAAGCGUUAUCCGAAUUCACUGGGCGUAAAGCGCGUGCAGGCGGCCUGGUAAGUUGGAUGUGAAAUCUCCUGGCUCAACUGGGAGAGGCCGUUCAAGACUGUCAGGCUGGAGGGCGACAGAGGGAGGUGGAAUUCCGGGUGUAGUGGGUGAAAUGCGUAGAUAUCCGGAGGAACACCAGAGGCGAAGGCGACCUCCUGGGUCGUACCUGACGCUGAGAUGCGAAAGCGUAGGGGAGCGAACGGGAUUAGAAACCCCGGUAGUCCUAGCCGUAACGAUGUAGACUGGGUGUCGGCGGGUGAAGCCGUCGGCGCCGAGCCAACGCGAUAGUCUACCGCCUGGGACUACGGCCG
rnacentral:rRNA from 1 species